UACGUAGGUGGCGAGCGUUGUCCGGAUUUAUUGGGCGUAAAGGGAACGCAGGCGGUCUUUUAAGUCUGAUGUGAAAGCCUUCGGCUUAACCGAAGUAGUGCAUUGGAAACUGAAAGACUUGAGUGCAGAAGAGGAGAGUGGAACUCCAUGUGUAGCGGUGAAAUGCGUAGAUAUAUGGAAGAACACCAGUGGCGAAAGCGGCUCUCUGGUCUGUAACUGACGCUGAGGUUCGAAAGCGUGGGUAGCAAACAGG
rnacentral:rRNA from 1 species